rnacentral:piRNA from 2 species
CAGAAGUUAGGAAGGGCUGUCACUGGUCCUC